UUGUAGAAUUUGUCUUUGAUUAGGUCCUUGUCUAUGUUCCUUGGAACAGGACGUCAUAGAGGGUGAGAAUCCCGUUUGGCGAGGAUACCUUUUCUCUGUAAGACUUUUUCGAAGAGUCGAGUUGUUUGGGAAUGCAGCUCAAAGUGGGUGGUAAAUUCCAUCUAAAGCUAAAUAUUGGCGAGAGACCGAUAGCGAACAAGUACAGUGAUGGAAAGAUGAAAAGAACUUUGAAAAGAGAGUGAAAAAGUACGUGAAAUUGUUGAAAGGGAAGGGCAUUUGAUCAGACAUGGUGUUUUUUGCAUGCACUCGCCUCUUGUGGGCUUGGGCCUCUCAAAAAUUUCACUGGGCCAACAUCAAUUCUGGCAGUAGGAUAAAUCAUUAAGAAUGUAGCUACCUCGGUAGUGUUAUAGCUUAUUGGAAUACUGCUAGCUGGGAUUGAGGACUGCGCUUCGGCAAGGAUGUUGGCAUAAUGGUUAAAUGCCGCCCGUCUUG
rnacentral:rRNA from 1 species